UACGAAGGGGGCUAGCGUUGCUCGGAAUCACUGGGCGUAAAGGGCGCGUAGGCGGAUCUUUAAGUCAGUGGUGAAAGCCCAGGGCUCAACCCUGGAAUUGCCUUUGAUACUGAUUGUCUUGAGUAUGGGAGAGGUAUGCGGAACUCCGAGUGUAGAGGUGAAAUUCGUAGAUAUUCGGAAGAACACCAGUGGCGAAGGCGGCAUACUGGCCCAUUACUGACGCUGAGGCUCGAAAGCGUGGGGAGCAAACAGG
rnacentral:rRNA from 1 species